rnacentral:rRNA from 1 species
GAUGAACGCUAGCUACAGGCUUAACACAUGCAAGUCGAGGGGCAGCACAGUGUAGCAAUACACGGGUGGCGACCGGCGCACGGGUGCGUAACGCGUAUCCAACCUUCCCGUUACUCUUGGAUAGCCUUCCGAAAGGGAGAUUAAUACAAGAUGGUAUUCAAAUUCCGCAUGUUAUUUGAAUUAAAGAUUUAUCGGUAACGGAUGGGGAUGCGUGACAUUAGGUAGAUGGCGGGGUAACGGCCCACCAUGCCUACGAUGUCUAGGGGUUCUGAGAGGAAGGUCCCCCACACUGGAACUGAGACACGGUCCAGACUCCUACGGGAGGCAGCAGUGAGGAAUAUUGGUCAAUGGUCGGAAGACUGAACCAGCCAAGUAGCGUGAAGGAUGAAGGUUCUAUGGAUUGGUAAACUUCUUUUAUACGGGAAUAAAACCNCCUACGUGUAGGUGCUUGUAUGUACCGUAUGAAUAAGCAUCGGCUAACUCCGUG